UGGCUCAGAACGAACGUUAGCGGCGCGCCUAACACAUGCAAGUCGAGCGAGAAGGAAGCAAUUCCUGUAAAGCGGCGCACGGGUGAGUAACACGUAGGUAAUCUACCUCGAAGUGGUGGAUAACCUUCCGAAAGGAGGGCUAAUACAGCAUGAGACCACGGUUUCGAAAGAGAUUGAGGUCAAAGCGGGCCACUAUACAUAAGCUCGCGCUUCGAGAUGAGCCUGCGGCCCAUCAUGGUAGUUGGUAGGGUAAUGGCCUACCAAGCCGAAGACGGGUAGCUGGUCUGAGAGGAUGAUCAGCCACACUGGAACUGAGACACGGUCCAGACUCCUACGGGAGGCAGCAGUGGGGAAUCUUGCGCAAUGGGCGAAAGCCUGACGCAGCGACGCCGCGUGAGUGAUGAAGGCCUUCGGGUUGUAAAGCUCUGUGGAGGGGGACGAAUAAGGGUUGGCUAACAUCCAGCUCGAUGACGGUACCCCUUUAGCAAGCACCGGCU
rnacentral:rRNA from 1 species